rnacentral:lncRNA from 1 species
UUCAUUUAUGUUUAGUAGCAAAAAUUGAUAGGAAAAAGAAAAAAAAUUCAAUGGUCUCAUGACAUAUGUGUCAUGAAUGCAUCUGCUUUCUUUGACCCAUUCAAUCGUCGUUGCUUUUCAGACCAUUCAUUACAAUUAAUAGCUUGCAUUGGCACUCAUAGUCACAUCCAAAAUUAUGUUUUUGUCAUUCUGUAUUUGUGCGUCGUGGUCAAAACACACAAAGGAGCAUUAGGUUCUAUACAUAAAUAUAUAGAAAUCUGAUUUCAUGAAUACGCAAAAUGCAUGAUUCAAUAUAUAUAAUUUGCUAAUUUUAAGACUUAUCUUAUAGUUAAGGUUUAACAACCGUAAACCUUAACUAUCUCUAAAUUUCAGCAAUUAAUUUUUCAACCAAGGGCACAGAUAGCAUAAUAGAACCGUAAAUCAAAACUUGCCAGAACUUUAACAUUUUCUUUAUUUUUAGCAACAAAUACAAGCAAAUACAGAUUUACGAUUGUGUACCUAAUGCCUAAGUCAGAAAUCGAAUCGAUCAAACUCGAGGACAAAACUCAGAUUCAACAACAAUCUUGGAGAGUUUAAACACUCUUGAAAUCCCAGAAAAACACGAGCCAACAAACUGAAAUCUUUCUUUCUUCUUUUUUUUUAAAAAUCUUUUUUUCGGAUCUGAAAACCAAUUUUUAUUGCUGGGUUUCGGAUUUUUAUGUAUUUUUCGCGUGUGAGCAUGAGUAUAAAGGCGAGUGACUAGGAGAUGAGAGGGGAGAUCUUCCUCUUUUCCUUGAAGUUCUGUGGCUGAAGUUUUUCGGGAUAUCUUCGUGUUUUUCGAUCUAAGCUAAAGACGAGGAAGAGGCCAGAAACGACGCCUAGGUUUCUAGUGGGGAAGCAUCUCUGUGGUUUUUGUCUGGUUUGGAGAAAAUGAGAGGUAAUGAAGAAGAGAAACCCCUGAGAAAAUGGGGUAGGGUCUCCU